CUUUGGGUUAGCAUGACGCAAUUCCACCAGCUUUUGUCCUAUGUUCACCAAUGGGAGACAUUCAGUUUGAUGAAAGGUUUUGUGGAAGAGAAUACAGAUUUCGUUUAUCUACUGCUAAAUACAGAAUUAAGGGUCAGAUGUAGAAAUUAUAGAAGGCAGAUUUCUAUUCAAUAUAAGAAAAACUUGUUAAUUUUUUUUUAAAAAAAUGUAUGUAUGUAUGUAUUUUUGUGGUGCUGAGGAUCAAACCCAGGGCCUCGCCCACACUAGGCAAGCACCCCCCGCCCCGCCCCAAUGAGUAGAGCCUAGGAAAACUUUUUAAAAUAGAAAAUUAAACAGGAACCCAAUGGCUGGCAAAGAAAAGAGUUCCUUUACUCAUAAGUGUUCAGAGGUGACCCUGCUAAUGACAUCCUAGGGAAGGACAGUGAACUGGUUGGAGAGACUAGAUGUUGACUGUCAAGAUUCCUUCUGAAUUGAAAGUUCUGGGGGGUCUAAAUUAAUCCUCCUUCUCACUUUCUUCAUGCUUCAUGAACUUCAACAGGACCCUGGAAGCCAUUCAAGAUCAGAUGUAAGGAUCAGGCCUUGGGUGGUUGGUUGACUGGUUCCAGGUGUUCGCGCCCUCUGUCUCUGCCUGCCAGAUGCGGAUCAUCACCAUCAUCAUUUCAUCCAUAAAGUACGUAAUGGAGUCAUCUGUGUCAGGGGCCAAGCUGGGCCUGGAGGGCUUGGGGUCCACACUGCAGGCACAGUGUCUCCUGCAUCAUGAAUCUUGUUGCAAAAUUCUAUAGACUUUAAAAAAAAUAUGGUCACCUUAAUGCAAAAUACUCCUGAAUAGCUAAUAUAGUAUUGAUUAUUGCAUUUACAGUAUUUUUUUUUUUACUACCAUGGAGUAUUUUUAUUUAGGCCUAAGCAAUCUAUGAUUAAGUAUAGUUUAUUACCAAACAUAUCCUUUUAUAUUAUAAACACAAAAAUAGCACAUAUUGUAGGGGUCUCCCUGACCUGCCAAUUUAUGACCCUUUUAUAUUGGAGAAAGUAUUCUAAAUUUUACAAAGAAAAUUCACCAGCUUUUGGGAAAACAUACACACACACAAAUGAAGAAGUGCUCUUUAAAAACCAACAAACAAAACACGAACAAGUUAUCGUUUUUUUCAGAAAAAUUUUCAAAGGGCAGAACCCAAAGGUGAGUAUUGCCCCACAAAUGAUGAGAUCGUGAGAUCUAUUGGGGUGGGCAGGGGAGAGCCAGCAAGUGGAAUUUGAGAAGAUCUACUUUAAAGAAGUGGAAGUUCUCAAGAGCCCUCCAGGGACUGGUGGAGAGCAGGUCAGUCAGUGGAUCUGUGCAGGGAGGUGCUCAUGUCAGUCUGGCCCCCCAGCUCCGCCUACCUGCUGUGUUUUCUUCCUUUGCCUCCUUGACUGUUCCAGUACUUUCCUUGUUCUGGUUGGGGGGUCGGGGGGAGGAUGGCUAGGAUGUCGAUGGAGCUCUCCAGCCUCCUGAGCCCUCUACUGCCACUGCCUGGUCUUCCUCACAGCACGGAGGCUGGCCAACUGUGGGCCACACUUGCAGUGACUCCCAGCCAUCACCCGAGUGCCUUCACUUGGUUCUCUAUCUGGGUAAAGUUCCUCACCCCAACUUGAAAUACCUCAAGAGAUGAAUGCCCAACCAGGACUAGCCCCUGUCUUGCUUGGGCACUGUGCUAGACACUUUUUUUCCAUCUCUUGUAUCUGAGAGGACUUGACUUGCUUUGCCAAUAGAAUAUGGAGAGAAUUCUGGAACUUAGGCCAAAGAAGCUUUGCAAUCCCUGCAACCCAGGGGCCACUUCCUCUGCCAAAGCCCAGUCUAGGCUGCUGGAUUAUAAAAGGCCAAAUGGACAGGGGCCAAUGUACCUUGGCCAAAAGCCAGCACUCACUGCCUGAGGAGUCGGAGGCCAUCUUGCACACCCCAGACUGCUGAACCCAGUUGACUGUAGCCCCAGGAGUGAUCUGAGGUUAGACUAGCCAAAGAACUGCCCAGGUUGCCAACCCACAGAACUGGUAUCAAUCACUAUUGCUGGUUAGCACACACAAAUGGAAACUUUCAACCUUACUAAUGGAAACAACAAAAAAACCUGCUAUAAAGUUAUCAGUUGUACCUCAUCUUCAAAAGGAAUUUCGAUGCAGCCCACUCCUGCUUUCUAAGAGAUUAUUAAAUGUUGGUGGGCGGUGCAUAUAAUUUCCCAUCCAUUCUUUCUGAGUUGACUGUGUUGUCUACCCAGUCCCAGUCAGCAUUCCAUAGACUAUUAUGCCAGUCUUUGGGGAAGAAUCGAUCUCUGCUGUCCAGGGUUGUGCUUCUCACGAUAUCCCCGAUGGCCAGGCAUGGAAAGGCAACAGGUACAGAAGGGAGCUACUUGGCUGCCUGGCCUUGGAGGCUGCCUGCAUCUCUCUCUAACAGUGCCAUGAAGUCAAUGUUCGUCUCUUUCCACACCGAGGUUUUCUGCUCUGCUCUACAUUGACUGACUGGAAUUUAAUGUGCAUCUACUGUGGGCCAGAUUCCAGAAGAGGUCUUCACCUCCAUGGACUCCUUCAGUGCUCCUCACAACUCUCCUGGGGACCCCUCCACUUUACAAGUGAGGAAACGAAGCCUUAAAAAUAUUCAGCAUGUUGGUGCAAGUCACCACCCUGGUGAGGGUGCCAGUGGGUUUAACCCAGGAACUUCUUUCUACAGCCCUGUCCACCCUGUCUGCUCCAUCUUCCUCCAAGCACUCGCUGUUUCCAGUCUUGGAGGCUGUGGGUGUCGCACUGAGGAUCACCUCCUGCGUCACAGUCAGUGUGUAACUCUUGAUACUCCACCUAAGAUGUUCUGUAUGCCCAGCGAGAGCACACAGGCCUGCCCAGCCACACUGGCUCAGAUGUCCCCAAAAUACCAUGGCUGUAAUGGAGCCCAGUGAUGAUCUGGCUUCAGAACCAGCUGCCAUGAUGCAAACGGGUGUCCAGAACACACUGGAUUCUCUUCCUGUGGAGGGAGAGACACUUUCUCUGCAGAUUUUUCUUUGGGAAGCUGGGAGAACUCCUCUGCACUGGUCAUUGUCCCCUCCCUGGUCCUCCAGCUCACCAACUUAAGCCAAAACACAAACACAAUUCAAAUCCCUUCCAAGGAGCAACAUGUGGACCGCCAAAUCAUGGCCUGGCCGGUGAACACUGCCAAGUCAAAUAAGUUGCCUGCAGCUAGUAAAGACUUCUAGCAAAGACUUCUAAACUCAGGAAUGCACAGAAGCUUUGGCCUGACUUAUCCCCACCCAUUCGCUUCUCCUGAAGGACUGCCUAUGCUUUAUAAAGACAAUUGUUGGUGGUAGGUGAUGGUGGCUAAUGUGCCACCUGAGCCCCUAUUGCCUGACCAGUGAUCAACCCUUCCUGUGGCACAGUCUCACACGGUGCUGUGAUUCUGUCUCUCUCAGUUCACUGCCCCAGAGUGCUCCUCAAGGCAGGGUUGGGCAGUAGCUUGCUGGGCCUCCCAGUCCCAGGAACAGGUACAUUUUCCUGGUUUCCUUGACAGCCAAGCCAAACAAAACUCUGUGGUUCAAACAAUAACCAGGACUCCUAAUUGAUAUUUCUUGGGUAUCAACUUAAAUCAUAUCUUAUGUUGAUUAGCUCUUUACCUAAUAAAAAUAUUUAGCAUAGUCUGAUACAACAGAACAGAGAAACUGCCUUCUUAACCAAAAAGCCACACCUUCACUUAGCCUAACUAGAGAGUUUUGAGGAGAGACAUAAUUUACCUUCAAAAUGUUCUUCCUACUGCAAUGUAAUUAAAUGAAUUAAUCAAGUAAUUUGAUACCAGGGACUGACCCCAUGGGUGCUUAACUACUGAGCCACAUCCCCAGCCCUUUUUUAUUUUGAGACAGGGCUUCCUUAACUUGUUUAGGGCCUUUCUAAGUUGCUGAGGCUGGCCUCCAACUUGAGAUCCUCCUGCCUGAGCCCCCCAGAGUCACUGGGAGUACAGGCAUGUGCCACCACACCCAGCUUGCAACUUAUUUUUUGACUAAAGAGUACACAAUUCAACUAUUUACUAAGUAUUACUGAAAUGCCCAUUUCUCUGAAGGAAAGCAGCUCUGUUCCUUGACAUUACCUCUCCUCAUGACUUCCUUCUCUCUAAGAUGUAAGGAUGAAGAGAAUCUGGCAGAGAGUGAGCAUUUGUAAACAUUGUUGCUAUUUUCCUCCUUCCUUUCUUUGGCUGUGCUAGAGAUUGACCCAAGGCCUCACACACCCUAGGCAAGCCCUGUCCCAUGAGCUACAUCCCUAGCACGAUUGUUAUUAUUAUCCCAUGUUCUCUAGUUAGUAAUAAAUGCAAUUUCUUUACAACUCCGGCAUUUCCUUUACAAAGCCUGCUUAAUCAUCAUUACCUAAGAUUAGAGUACUGACACGAGGCACCAGCUUUAACCACUUAAUAAGAACUUCUGACAUUUAUUCAUACUAGAACUGAUUCAUAAGAGGAGAAGUUUAGAAAGAAGACAACUGCACGCUGCCUUCCCUUUAGAAUACAGGAAACCAUAUGAAAGUUUUUGGCAAUGGAAUUAAAGUAACCACAACGUAGCUCUUGGUAGCACUUUCUACCCGUGAAGGCAGUGACAUGAAGUGAGAAAGAAUAUUCAAUUAGGUGGUUAUCAAAGAGGUGACAUAUUAGCUUCAGACAUUUUCCUACAAAAGAAGAGGACGUUUUAAUCAACUGAUAGUUUAGCCUGAUUAGGACACACCCAAGAAGAGUGACUUUUCAGUCAAACAUUUCAAGAGGCAGAAGCCCUGCAAACUAGCUGGACGUGGGGGCAGAUUCCUGGAAUCCCAGCAGCUCAGGACGCUGAAGCAGGAGGAUCACAAGUUCAAAGCCAGCCUCAGCAACUUAGCAAGGUCCUAAGCAACUUAGUGAGACCCUGUCUCUAAAUAAAACAAAUUUUAAAAGGGCAGGGGAUGUGGCUGUUCAAUCCUUGGUACCCUCUUCUCCCCAGAAAGCCCCCCAAAUUGCCAGAACUCAAUACAGACAUGCUUUGGUACAGCAGGGGAUAAAUUCCAUAGGACCCCCACAACCUGCUGCAGAUAUCACAAUCUGCCAAUGCUCAAAUCACUCAUCUAGGAUGGGGUAGUAUUUCAUUCACACACAUCCUCUCCAAUGCUUUAAAUCAUCUUUGGAUUACCUUACACAAUAUAAAUGUAAAUAGUUGUUAUAGAGUAUCAUUUAGGGGAUUGUGAUAGGAAAAACCAAUUCUGGAUAUGCUUAACACAGCCACAACUUUUUAAAGAAUGUUUUCAACUGUGGUUGGUUGAAUCUGUGGAUGCAGAACUAUUAUGGUUUGGAUGUGAGGUAGCCCCUGAAGUCAUGUGUGAGACAGUGCAGGAAAAUUUAGAGGUGAAAUGACUGAGUUAUGGGAGCCCUGUCCUAAUCAGCACGUUAACCCCUGAUGGCAUCAACCGGGUAGACUGUAGUGGGUGGGGUGUGGCUGGAGGAGUGGGUCACUGGGGGCAUGCAUUUGGGGUUUAUAUUUUAUCCCUGGCGAUUGGAACUCUCUCUGCUUCCUAUGAUUGCCAUGUCCUGAGCUGCUCUCCUCAUUCGCCAUGAUGUUCUGCCUCCCCUCAGGCCAAGAGCAAUGGAGUCUAAGGACUGAGAACUCUGAAACCACGAGCACCAAAUAAACUUAUUAUCCUUUAAAAUUGUUGCCAGGACUUUUGGUCACAAUGGCAAAAAAGCAGACUAAAACAAAAGCCCACAAAUAUGAAGGGCUGACUGUGCAGUAAGAGUCCAAAGGUAUUAUGAAAAAAGUCUGUGUCCUGGAGUUUUUAUUUCAUGCACCAAAAUGAUUUCAAAAACAGUUUGGGAAGGCUCCCACUUUUAGUUAGGAUACAGAAGGAGUUGAGAGAACUUUGCUGCCAUGGUACUGGGGCUACUGAAAAGUACAGUACCUAAGAAAGGACUACAGAAGUCAUUCCAGGGAGAAAUGAGGUCUUUAUAAGUAAGCAGAGAGCCAUGCAAACUUCCCAACAUAAGGGUAGGUGCCCAUUUUGGGUGCAGGUAGACAGAGGUGUGUGCAUAUUGAAUAGAGGAGAGAAUUUGAAGGGUGAGAAAAGUGGCCAGAAGGAGUGGAAUUGGGAAGAACUGAAGCACAACACAGACCUGGCCUGGACAUUUUGAAUGCCUAAUACAGGAUUUUUGCGGCACAAGCAACAUCUUAUGGAGGCUGGAGAGCAGAGGAAACUGCGCAGUCCUGUGCAGCCUUGGUGCCUGGGUUGAGGACUGUGCUGGAACUGAACUCAGAGGUGAGUCCACAGUGCCUGAGACUGCAGUCCAGCCUCCGUCCAGCUCAGCUGCAGACAGGGCCCCAGGCAGCAUGGGCUGGGGUACAGCAUGGGCUGAGCACAGUGAAUGUACUGAUUAAAGCAGCCCCUGGGGCAGGGGGACUCUGAAUGAUCAGCCCUCACCCUAACAGCCACACCAAAGAAACAGCAAUAAAGGAAAGAAUUAAAACCUGUUGUAUGAAAUGUCUGGAGUACAAAAAUAGAAAACAAAGAAGCAUAAAAAUGUGCUACAUCCCAAAGAGAAAGCACAAUCAGUAAAAGCAGACUAUGAGAUGAUCAGUUAUUGAAAUUAGCUAAUGAGGAUUUUUAAAUAACUAUUAUAAAUGUGUUCAAGAAUUUACAAGGAAAAGUGGGUAUCGUGUAUUACAAAGGAAUAUUUUAUAAGAGAAAUGUAACUACAGAAAAAGAAUGGAAGGAAAAUUCUAGAACUGAAAAAUGAAAUAUUUGAGAUUAAAAAUUCACUUGUGGGUUUAAGAGCAGAAUGAACACUGA
rnacentral:lncRNA from 1 species